AUGAUUACGGAUGCGCUCACCGAGCCGGGAGGCACCUCCGGCUGGGCCGCCAUCGCCGGAGGAGGUGUUUCGUCGGGGAUCAAGAGAAAGAAGAAGCUUGGGAGGCCAUUCAAGAAGAGGCCGCCGAGAAACCCGCUUGGGGGGCUGAGGAAGGUCAAACAGACAGAUUCUGAAGCAACUCCAGCCACGCCGUCACCGUCAACUCCAGCCGCGCCGUCACCGUCAACAACCGGUAUCAAGAUACCGUGUGGGAGGCCGAGAAAGGACCAGCAACCAUCACAAGCAGCAAGCUCUCCUGAUCCGACUCCAGCACGGAGGAUCGAGACAGCGGAAACUCAAACUGGGCAUAGGAGCCCAAUGCUAACAGAGAAUCCACCACCAGCAACAAUGUCUGGUGAUGAUGCGUCGAUGAGAACCAAGAGACUGCUCGCGAGGCAAGCAAGGGAGGCACCGCCAGCGGCAACGCCCGCUCCUAAAACUGGAAUCAAGAGAGGGCGCGGGAGGCCAAGAAAGGACAAGCCAGCAGCACCAAUGUCUGCUCAAGCUGGAGGUGCCACGUCAACGGGAAUCAAGAGCAGGGGCGGGAGGCCAAGAAAAAAAAAGUCAGCAGCAGCAAUGUCUGCUGAAGCUGGAGGUGAUGCGUCAACGGGAAUCAAGAGCAGGCGCGGGAGGCCAAGAAAAGACAAGUCAGCAGCAGCAAUGUCUGCUGAAGCUGGAGGUGAUGCGUCAACGGGAAUCAAGAGAAGGCGUGGGAGGCCAAGAAAAAAUGAGUCAGCAGCAACUUAUCCAUAUCAGGAAUCUUCAAGUGGUGACCAUAGAUGGACUGAACAUGUUGAGCGACAGAGUGGUGUGGGUUCGCAACCAUUACCGGGAGAGACCGACCAACAUUUAGGAGAUGCUGAAAUGGAAGGUAACACCGGAAAUGGGGACAAUACUCAGGCAGAUCCACCUUACUUAGAACCGCGGACUGUGGCUCUUGUGCCCAGCCAGGCUUGCUUGCAAAUGUCUAAGGAAGUUGAAGCUGAGGCCAAUCCUGUAAUUCAGUCAGCCCAACCAGCUGUAGCACCAGCACAACUUCUGCAAAGAGAGGCAGAGCAAGUAGACUGUUCUGAUAGAACACCAGCUCAGACUUCAAGUGGUGACCAUGGAAGGAAUGAAGAUGUUGAGCAACAUAGUGGUGUGGGUUCAGCAGAACCAUUACCGGGAGAGAUUGAACAACAUUUAGGGGAUGCUGAAAUGGAAGUUAACACCGGCAACGGGGACAAUACUCAGGCAGACCCACCUUAUUUAGAACCACAGACUGUGGCUCCUGUGCCCAGCGAGGCGUCCUUGCAAAUUUCUAAGGAAGUUGAAGCUGAGGCCAAUCUUGUAAUGCAGUCAGCCCAACCAAUUGUAGCACCAGCACGGCCUCUGGAAAGAAGGGCAGAACAAGUAGACCGUUCUGGUAUAACAUCACCUCAGACUUUGCAACCUGAAAUGCAACCGCCAGCAUGCAGGGAAGCUUGUACUCAGACAUAUCUGAUAAUUCAGUCUUCACAACCAAGUACGGUACCAAAUGGGCUUUCACAAAGGGAUGCAGAACAAGCAAGCCUUUCUCGUGUACCAUCAUCUCAGUGUUUGUCAUCUGCAAUGCAUUCAUCGGUUCCACCGUCCAGUAUUCUGCUUGAAAGAGCACACCCUGAUCAGUGUCAACCACCAAGCCAUCAACCUGAGGCUGCACCGGGUUCUUCACCACAACUAUUUCCGGUGGCGCCAAUCAUGUUUAAUCAUCCACCAGUUGGUGAUGAUCCAUCGAAAAAUGAGUUGCACAGAUUACGGUUACACAUUCACUCAACCCACCAACUAAAGAAAUCACAACUUAGGACCGAGUGUAGCCAAGAAAUGGAGAAGCUCAAACAAAAGUAUGAUUUGUUACUUCGAGAACAAGAGUCCACUCAUCUUCAGCAAACCAAGACACUUGGUAAUCUAUGUGGGAAAGUUCUCCUCAACCAAUCACUAGCUGAAGAUCUUCGGGCUAAAUUCGUAUCUUCUGGAGAACAAGUUAGAGCCCCUGGCCCUCCAAAUCACCACACACCCCACUGGAUUGCUUCUCAGCAAGUUCCCAUGAGGCCUUCAGCGGUGGCAUCACCAACUACGUCGUCAUCAGCUGGUCGACCACCAGUGCUGAUACAUCACAUCCAACCGUUACAGGUCGAUGGACCAUCACCAUCAUCAUCGCCAUCUUCACAAGUGGUCAGACCACAUCCCUCCAUACUAAGCAACAUUGUCAGAUCAACAUCUACUAGUUUUAGCCUCGUGUCAGUUCUGCCACAGGGAAGCUUUGGAGUCCAGAGUGAACUAGCACAUGCACAUGCUCCUCGUCUUCAGCACAGGUUGCUUGCACAGGCGCAUUCGAUGGCAUCUGCAAAUCAGCAGCAGCUUCCAACUGGGUUGGAGAGCAUGUUUGCAAGGACAUGGUCUACCCCUGUGACUCCAAUAAAUAUAAGACAAUCAUGCCCACAUGCAGUUCCCCCAGGGAACCCAUCACUAUCAAGCUUGCAUCCAAGUUCACACUCCACUAUACCCUUGGGGCCAUCAAGUUCACAUCAAAUUCAUCAGGUUCCACCACUGCCAUCAAGUUCACAGGCCACUGUACUCGCACCCGUGGGCCCAUCAAGUUCACAUCAAAUUCAGCAGGUUCCACCACUGCCAUCAAGUUCACAGGCCACUGUACUCGCACCUGUGGGCCCAUCAAGUUCAUAUCAAAUUCAGCAGGUUCCACCACUGCCAUCAAGUUCACAGCCAACACGCCUGCCAUUGCCAUUGCCAGUGCCUUCGAAUCCAAAUCCAGUUCUUCCACUAACAUUACCACGAGGUUUGACUACGACAUCUAGUGUUUCCUCAGCUGCGUCCAGUGUGUUGCCAAGUAAAGGUGUUGGGCCUUGCGCACCAGACUCGCCGCAGUCAGAUUCUGAUGCAGAAUCACUGGAUCAAUUUCUAACCAGUAUUGGGGUGCCCAGUGAUCCCCGUGGCGUGGCGGCUCCUGAAGUGAUAUGCCUAUCUGAUGAUGAAGAGACCGAUGACCAAACCAAGCAAGAAACGCCGCUCGUCGCUGAAGUGCCCCAACAGAAGGUUCCUUGCAAGUUUUUGGUCAAAGGUGAUGCUUGUAAACAAGAAAUAUUGAUGCCCAGAUCGAUUUUAUAA
rnacentral:rRNA from 1 species